AGGCUUCUAUGAUGUUUUAGCACUGGGCUCUGAACUUAUGUGUAGACAAAAGUGCAGUUCUGCUCCUGACAUGGCAGAGGCUGAGAAGUGU